rnacentral:rRNA from 1 species
UGGGGAAUAUUGGACAAUGGGGGCAACCCUGAUCCAGCAAUGCCGCGUGUGUGAAGAAGGUCUUCGGAUUGUAAAGCACUUUCGACAGGGACGAUGAUGACGGUACCUGUAGAAGAAGCCCCGGCUAACUUCGUGCCAGCAGCCGCGGUAAUACGAAGGGGGCUAGCGUUGCUCGGAAUGACUGGGCGUAAAGGGCGCGUAGGCGGAUUUAUCAGUCAGACGUGAAAUUCCUGGGCUUAACCUGGGGGCUGCGUUUGAUACGGUAAGUCUAGAGUGGGAUAGAGGGUUGUGGAAUUCCCAGUGUAGAGGUGAAAUUCGUAGAUAUUGGGAAGAACACCGGUGGCGAAGGCGGCAACCUGGAUCUUGACUGACGCUGAGGCGCGAAAGCGUGGGGAGCAAACAGG